GCAGAAUUCACAGACCUCGGAGUCACGCUUUCCACGGGCGAAAUCGUUCUCAGACCCUAAAAUGGGAAUUCACAAAUUCCGGAGCCCCCUGUGGCCUGGGAAAGUAACGUGUUGAAAGGAGAGACAGACGGGGCCGAUGAGUUACAAUGUUGGCAACCCGAUUCCUGUCAGACACGCUGCGGGCCAAGCAAAACAGUCCCGGACGGGUUGGGGCUGGGCUGUCGCCGCGCUCUUGUGAAAUGGGGCAGAGCUGUCUGUCAUCUGAGAUGUGCACCGGACUGGGCGCUCGGCCCCGGCGCUCCAUCAGGGACCCUCGAGUGGGAGCUCUGAAAGUGAGCACUUGGUGCAGAGGGGCUGAGAACACAGCCCAUUUCCUGAGGCCGAUGCCACCCACGCUGCUCUGCUCUUUGGACCGAGAGGGGCCCGGGACCCUAUUAUUUCCUUUAGCAGGUUCUGGGGGGGGGGGUCCAUCUAGGCCUGGCCUCUGGGGAUCCCGGGGCCAGAGGGCAGACAGUAAGGAGCUCUGUCAGGGAGCCUUGCCUCAUAUUGAUGUUGGGAGCAGUGGUUUUCAACCUACCUCACGCUGCCACCCUUUAAUACAGUUCCUCAUGUUGUGGUGACCCAACCUCCCCCCGCCCUGCCCCAACCAUAAAAUUAUUUCCAUUGCUACUUCAUAACUGUCAUUUUGCUACCGUUACGAAUCGUAACGUAAAUAUCCCAUACGCGGGAGAUCUGACUUGUGACCGCCCUCAAAGGGGUCGAGACCCAUGGGUUGAGAACCACUGGUUGGGAGUGACGUGAUGGUGGCGUAGGGGGAGGAUGACUCUGACUAGAUGAUCAUUGGCCUGCACCCAGUCUCCAAGCUCUCUGUGGAUGACUCUAGCCUUCUGUUGUCCUAACUCCAUAAGUCACCUUCUGAGUAAGACGGAGCACUGUUACUCAUUACUGAAUCCCCAGUGUCUUGCGAGGCAUAUAGCACAUCAGAGAUCUUGGUUCUGUGUGGAGUCCCCUGACCUGUGAAUCCUGUGUCAGCCUGAUAUCACUCCUUCCUCACAGCCCAGUGGACCGGCAGGGCCCGAGAGGCCAAGCCAGGGCCCUAAGGCAGCUCAGACUUCAGCCGGUCUCCCUGGCUCUGGCCAGGGUGUGUGGUCUCUGCAGUGAGCCGCUGGGUAUUUCACCUACUGGUACCAAGAUCCCGUGUCUGUUACUGGCAGUGGGUGUCAGUCAGAAAGGAAGAGAGCCCAUGACUGUGGUGUGCGGAUGUCCGUGCGGACCAGCUGCACACAACCACAAAGGCUAUUCCAUGCAGCCCUGGUGAGGGCUGAAAAAGACUGCUCGGUUUGGGUGUGUGGACAGUGUGCUUGGGGGUGCACCCAGCCUCAGGCCUGGCACGUAGUGGGGGACCCACGCGUGUUGGGUGAGUCAAUGUAAAUGUGAUCGUGGCUCAGGCUCCCAGGACAAACAGGAUUUCUGAUUGACAACAUAGCCCACUGAAACCCGCCAGAGACCUGUAUUGUGUGAGGUCAGCCUGCCUGGGCCUCUUUAGCAGAUGGCUACAGGCUGGACCUGUUACCAGUCCCUUCCACACACAUGCACAUGCGUGUGCGCACACACACACACACACACACACACACACACACACACACACACACAGAGUGUAGGCUGGGGAUUUCACCAUCAGAACUGGGGCCAUGGUUGCAUUUUGCUCCUCCUCGGGUACCCCUGGUAUUUGCAGGUUGCACUUCUAGCAUUGUCUCUUCUAGCCAUUCUGAGCUCAGUGCUUCUGCUAGUGUGAGGAAAGAUCCUGCCUUUGGAUGACAUUGGCCUGGAAUUUCAGAGGCUCCUGGGCCAGGGAAGUGGUCUCUUCUAGGCAAAGGAGACCCUCCCUGGUAGAAAUAACAUCCUGAUAAGAUUCCAAGGAGCUGAGCAAGUGGGAUCCUGAGGCCAAAAUAUAUAAGGCAGGAUCCCUACACUCAGGAGUCCCAGCAAGUCACGUAGGCCAGGCUGUGAGGGUCCCUUGGCCAGAGUUCUCUGGAAUGCUGGCCUGCUUGGUCUCCACGGCUCAGGGGCCAGGUGUCUUCCUUGAGGCAUCUGUUUGCCUGGAGGAGGUCAUGGAGGUGGCAUCUGACGUGACCUCAAGUGGGUAGGCAGGCUGACCUGCCUGAACAGGCCUGAACGCUGCUAGGAGGAAAAAUCCGCAGCGACCCGCUCAGCUCCUGGCUCCUCAGCCUCCUCAGCCCGUCUCUCAGUCCCCUUGUCCACACAUCACAUGUUUGCCUCUGCCUCCUGGACCUGGCCCUGCGGAGGCCGGAAUGCCUGACUCUGAACUAGCCACACAGCUGACCUUCUGAGUCCUGGCGAAUUCAGGGCUGUGUCCCUCGGGCUGCUGAGGACCCUGAGUUCCUCACGUCAUAGUGUCAUUGUACGGAGAGACAGGCACAGACUCGCUCGCUGGACGCAGAGCUCAGAGCCACAUUAGUCUUACAUUCUGACUCCUGCUGAGGAAUGCCUUUCUGUUCCAGAUGGGUUCAUUCUGGAGAGCAUACGAAGCCAAACUCAGUUGUGCCUGAGGCACCCAAGACAUCAGUCACGGGGAGCUCUUCUUUAUUUAAAGGUUUUGACAUUUCA